rfam:Triticum aestivum genome assembly, contig: Triticum_aestivum_CS42_TGACv1_scaffold_640877_T_7BL-0.143937_1AS-0.085482
UUUGUAUUCCCUCCGUCCGAAAUUAGUCGUGGCAAAAAUAGAUAGAAAUGGAUGUAUCUAGACCUAAAAUACGUCUAGAUACAUCCACUCCUACGAUAAAUAAUUCCGAACGAAGGGAGUACUAA